rnacentral:pre_miRNA from 1 species
AGUAGAAUUGUUAGAUCAAAUGGUAACCUUUAUGUUUAACUUUUUGGAGGACUGCCAGUCUAUUUUCCAAACAGCUGUACCAUUUUCAUUUCUACCAGCAAU